UGCUUAACACAUGCAAGUCGAACGAUGAACUGGAGCUUGCUCCAGGGAUUAGUGGCGAACGGGUGAGUAACACGUGAGUAACCUGCCCUUGACUCUGGGAUAAGCGCUAGAAAUGGCGUCUAAUACCGGAUACGAGCUUCAGCCGCAUGGCUAGGAGUUGGAAAGAAUUUUGGUCAAGGAUGGACUCGCGGCCUAUCAGCUAGUUGGUGAGGUAAUGGCUCACCAAGGCGACGACGGGUAGCCGGCCUGAGAGGGUGACCGGCCACACUGGGACUGAGACACGGCCCAGACUCCUACGGGAGGCAGCAGUGGGGAAUAUUGCACAAUGGGCGAAAGCCUGAUGCAGCAACGCCGCGUGAGGGAUGACGGCCUUCGGGUUGUAAACCUCUUUUAGUAGGGAAGAAGCGAAAGUGACGGUACCUGCAGAAAAAGCACCGGCUAACUACGUGCCAGCAGCCGCGGUAAUACGUAGGGUGCAAGCGUUGUCCGGAAUUAUUGGGCGUAAAGAGCUCGUAGGCGGUUUGUCGCGUCUGCUGUGAAAUCUGGGGGCUCAACCCCCAGCCUGCAGUGGGUACGGGCAGACUAGAGUGCGGUAGGGGAGAUUGGAAUUCCUGGUGUAGCGGUGGAAUGCGCAGAUAUCAGGAGGAACACCGAUGGCGAAGGCAGAUCUCUGGGCCGUAACUGACGCUGAGGAGCGAAAGCAUGGG
rnacentral:rRNA from 1 species